ensembl:lncRNA
AGUGUUUCCCGAAAAUCUACAUUGUUUUUUUGUGUAUGGUUAAACAUGACUAUCAAUCAUUAUAACAACGUUUAUAGGUCAUAAAAGUCGAAAAGCAUAAUAGGUCCCCUUUAAAAAAAUACGGUACCUUCAAUGAUACCUUACCCAUUGGGAAGAGAACUUCCACACCUGGGCCUGAGCUGAGCUAUGAUGGGUCGAUGAAUUUAGCUGACUCAUAGCUGAUGGCUAUGGCAUUUCAUCAUUACUCUUAAAUGAUGGCUGUUAUGGUUACCCUCAUCACCUCUAAUAAGAUUAGACAUCUCAUCAGAGGUUGGUGAUGGGUACCGUAUGAUACUAUAAUUAACACUUACUCAAUAUGCACUACUGUUGUGGUUUUCAGGUUUGACCUUUGAUUGGAUGUUGCUUUCUAAGUCGUACUUUGUGUUCUCUUCCAAAAGCCGAGUGAAGGCGCGGAGGCAGUGGCAACCCCGGAGAAUGUUACGGAGGCUCCUGGUACGCAUGCAAGCACACGCACUUAACACAGACACAGAUAAAUACACACGCACGCACUCACACACAUGGACACGCACACAGACUCACACAGACACGCACUCACGCACACACACGUCUGCUGUCUAUAUGAUUGUCCUACUGAUGUCUGACGUGCUAUGUUCCUGUUAUGUGUUGUAUGUAAAUGUAACGUGUGAUGUGCCUUGUCCCUGUUACAUGUGCUGCAGAACAGGAACCUGCUGGAAAUCAGUUAUUUUACUGAGACAGGCCCGUUUUAAAUUGUAACUUUGUUACUUUUAAUACUUUCCUGUAUAAUAAAUAUAAAAUAAUUAAAACACACACACACACACACACACACACACACGGACACACACGGACACACAAGGACACACAAGGACACACAACACACACACACACACACACACACACACACACACACACACGGACAGGCACACACACACACACACACACACACACACACACGGACAGGCACACACACGGACAAACACACAUGCACUGACACACACACACCAACGGAAACACACAAACACACACAACACCCACCCACAGACACACACACACACACACACACACACACACACACACACACACACACACACACACACACACACACACACACACACACACACACAGGGCUGUCCUCUGAUGUGUCACUUAAUUGUUGCUUUUGUCUAAAGCAGUUAGGUAAAACAAUUCUUGUGGCGUAAAAUUAAAUACUAUGAUACUAUAAUACUAAUUAAACAGUAAUUAGGUUCCAAGAGCAAAAUUACCUUUCCGCUUUGAGAUUUUGUAACUUUUUAAAAUCCCAAUCGCUAUGGAUACCCCGAUCAUCUUGACCAAUGGAAAGGUAACUGAACAAACCGAAACCAUGCAAGCAGCAUGCGACAGGUUUGUCUUCCCAAACAUUUGACUUAUUUUGAAGUAAGCUGCCACAAAAAGGCUGCAUUCGCCAUCCAGUGUUGGAGCACCUUAAACUAAUUCAUAUGACAGUGUCUUAUGAAUAAUUCUUAUGACAGUUAAGACUCAGUCGAAUGAACCCAAUCUAACCACGACAAGAGCAACUAGGAGUACAAGUGCUGCAAGACGACACAAGUCUUCUUGCAAGCAGAUAGCUGUAGGAAAUAGGGCUAGUAAGGGCUAGUAAGGGCUAGUGAUCUGACCACUCAAGAUAAGUCAGGUCAGUAAGCUCUUAAGCUCUUAAAAUGGGCCAUGGGGAAAAGUCAUCGGUCAACCCCAACAAAAGAGACCACCAAACAUGUCAAGUCAGGGUGGAUGUUGAGUUGUUUGUGGGGCAGUAGGGCCUCUGGGCGCCUCUAGAACAGGGCUUCUCCCACUUCCACUUCUCUGGACACAAAAGACCACUUCAGUGUGUACAUUGAACCCAACUAAACAGAGCUCCGAGUGUGUUGUCAGGCUGCCCAUUGAGGGCCUGACCCUAUAGUUUCAAAAUCCCUGCUCUGGAAGAAUGGGAGGCUCGACUGUAACACAGGCGCCAAUCGUUUGAGUUUUCAUUCCAUUGUAGCCUGUGUCUCUAAGUCCGAGAUGUGCAGCACUGCAAAUCCCAGCAUGCACCGUGCAUGUGUUCCUGUUUGCAGCCUUCCCCUUCCCCUCUCCCAGGACCAAAGUGUCUGCUGUAUCGAGCACUGAUUACUUCCAUCAGGACCACUACCUGUCCCUACAGUCGUGGUGCAAUCAGUCACACUUCUGGAUUUCCAUCGGCAGUGUUGUGAACUCAAACAGCACCACUGAGGCAGCCAAGAGAAGUCUCCCACAUCCCAUUGCACAUAAAUACGAACAAACGGAGGGAGUUAAUGUAACUCUGUCUGGUAAACGGCCAACCUAUUGUGAAAAAGCCUCCAGAAGGAGGUUUGGAGAAAGGAGAGUUGUGUGGAUCUUAUGAAUAGGUUGGAGUCAUACACACAGUCAUACAAGUUUUUAAAAAAUAAGAAGUUUCUAAAAAGGAACAAUUGGAAACAAAGCUUCACUUCAUCCGUUCAAAGUGGGUGAUUUGUUGAUUGUUUAAUAGCCCUAACUUUUUAAUUAAAGCGCAUCACCUCCAGUGGCUUUUAUCAUAAAAAAAAACAUACAUAUUGGCCCUCAAAGUUGUAAUUUCAGGAUUUGGCCCGUGCUUAGAUGGAGUCUGGCCAACAGUUUUAGCGGGACUGGGAAUGACCCAGGGUGGGAGCAGGCCAGUGAUAUGCCGCCUGCUUGUUGUUGAGUCAGAGCUGGAACACAAUGUUAUCUUGCUUUGUGUGUUACUAAUUCUCCUUCUUCUCCAUCUGUCUUUUGCUGUGGGGAAGCCAUCAUCCCCGUAGCGGAAGCUCCCUCAGACGACCUGUUUGACUUGGCAGCUGCACUGGGACCGGUCGACCAGCCGUCACGCAAUGGGAAUAGUCGGAGUGGUGGCUCUGUUCGUCAGUACCUCCCCUCCUUAAUUUAUUACUGUUAUCAUGUUGUUAUACUAUUAACGUGUAUUCAACUCUGUCUCUCUCUUCAUCUCUACUUAUUAAGGUUCAAUAAUCUCUCUCUCUUUCUGUCUCUCUCAUGCAAUGUUAUAUGAUAAUCUCCCUCUCUAUUUAUUGUUAAUGUUCUUAACACCAUGGAGAGUGUGUGUGUAUGUGUUUGUGUGUGUCUGUGUGUGUGUGCACGGUGUGUGUGUUAUCACUUAAUUUUUAUCUAAUUACACGUUGAUUCAUAUUGGGUGUGUUUAGUCAAACACACCAAAUGUUUUCCAGAACACGUGUAGUGUUUGGUCUGAGGAAGGUUAACAUGCUAGGCCAUAUGUCAGGGUCUGGCUCUGCUGACCUUCAUCUGACAUAAGAGGUUGACAGGGAAGAGACACAGGCCUCCUGUCAGCCUGGAUGUAUCGUCACAGUUCAACCUGCUAACUAACGCUCGGUCAAUCAUGGGCUCAGCUGGUUCUGGAGGGACACUCUCGUCAUCAGCUGGUGGCCAGUUGGCUGGUGGCUGUCAGUUUUAGACCUUCCAUCUCAAACACACUCUGCAAGGUUAAGUGUACUGAGCAGAAUGUCGCCCGCCGCCACCCCAGCCCCAAGCUUCUCUGGUACCGCAAAACUAAAUAGUUUCACCUUUUGAUGCAAUAAAUGGUUAAAUGCAUGAGUUUCAGACAGAAAUGCCUGCAGGGUGCGAAGGGAACAGAACAAAGUGACAUAACUGGUCUUGUGCUCCCGCUCCGGGCCCCCGCCCCUUUCCCUGGAGUCCUACCUGCCUGGAGACUAUUAUAUUGAGGGUUUUCCGGUGGAAGGCAUUGUGAUCGGUACCCUGUAAUUAAUGGCUCUGUCAGGCCCCAGCAGGCCUGGUGCUGAGCUCACAGGACAGAUACAGACAGGCACGCACAACUAGAGCCUGGGAUAGUUUGCAUAUAGACAACUUCAGAGAUCUAUUUGUUUAUGCGUGUACACAAGCAUGCAUGUGUGUGUGUGUGUGUGUGUGUGUGUGUGUGUGUGUGUGUGUGUGUGUGUGUGUGUGUGUGUGUGUGUGUGUGUGUGUGUGUGUGUGUGUGUGUGUGUGUGUGUGUGUGUAUGGGGCUGUGGGUAUGUGCGAAUGUGUGUUUGUGGGUGUGUGCGCUUGCCUGUUUUUGUGUGUAUGAGGGAGAGAGUUUCUGUGUUGGUUUUUGUAGGUGAUUGUGCGCAUUUGUUGGUGUUUGACAAGAUAUGUAUUGUAAUAUAUGUCUGUAUAUUUUUUUAGAUAAUUUAAAAACCAGUACAAAAAUGUGUAUGCUGAUGAUAAGGGAAAUCUAAAUCUUAGAACUUACUAGAACUGUUCCGCCCCUAGGCUGUCACCUGUUCAUAGAUGUACUCUCUCUCCUUCUCCCCACCUAUGUCUCUCUGUCACGCCCAAUCCUCUUCCAAGCACACACAUCUGAAUCAUCAGCAGACGGUGAGCCUCUCUCCAUUGUGUUUUUGAUUACUCUCAAUCAAAAUAUCAAAUCAUCAUGGUCUUGGUCACUGUGGCGCCAUCGCAAACCAAUCCCUUACCUUAUCGCACAGUGAGACAGACAGAGACACAGACAGACUGAGACACAUACAGACAGACACAGAGACAGACAGACAGACAUCGAACAGACAGAGACAGACACAGAAACAGAGGUGUACAGAGAUACAUACAAGUAUACAGACAGACAGAAAGAUAGGGAUACAAAUGGCUACACAGACAGACAGACAAAUGGGGAUAAAUAGACAGAUAGAGGGAUGAGAGGCCUGGAACUCAGGCUGUGACCGGUUCAGAACUCCAAGGUUCAAAGGACUCGUGUUGUUUCAGCAACGCGUGGAAGCACACAGGAUAUUGUGUGCGUUCCUGUGCCCAAGGCAACAGGAUACAAUACCUGAAAAACCAAUGUCCCUCCACGCUUUGUUGAAAUUGGUAUUCCUAUGAAGAAAAAAAACAGUGCCAUUAACAUGAAAAAAAAGAGCAGGACAUAAUGUUAGAGAGAACAGAAACAUAGCUGGUCCUGCCUGUGUUCAGAUCAGAGAGAACCUGUUUGAUAUCCCACACGGGCAAGUUCCUGCUGGCUCGACCCCCAUCUCACACAUUCCUAUUCCACAUCUAUCGCUGAUUUAUGGUUGAACGCUUGUAUUUAUUGUGUGUGCUCUUUGCCUUACAGGAUCAGUGGAGGGAAAAUGUAAGUUAACACUUUUCUCCUUUUUCUCCUGAUGUCACGUAACCUCAUGCGUCCGUUUACAGAGAUGGUUUAUUCCUGCACCCAAGAUGCAUGUUUGAGUCCCGAUUUCCACAUUCUGGACUUUCUCGUGUGUCUGAGCCGUGCAGAACGACAUUGUCACACGGCAAUUGAUCGUCUCCUUUCUCUGCUGCGUCGUCCGCGUCUCCCCACCCCCUGGUGUAAUCUGCCCCCCUGAUGGCAAGGCCCCGCGCUGGUUCAUGUUCUCGAGGUCCAGGCACCAAGAGCCGUGACUCUAAUCCCAAGUUGGCAUCAGACGAUGUGACUCUGUGGUGCCGUAUGGCACUGUAAUAACGGUCAUUAAGACUGAUGGGUGGGGGGGCGGAGUGGCUAUUGUUGGUUGUCAGGGUUGGUCUGAGAGCUCUUGAUGGGAUGGGGUUUUACUGGGAUCAGGAUUUUCCCAAUCGUCUCAUUAUGCACAAGAAUAUCAUUACAAAGAUGAGCGUCCUGUUCUUGCCUGUCCAUUCAUGCUUUGGUGUGUGUGUGUGCCUGCGUGUCCGUGUGCGUGUGUGUGUGUGUGUGUGUGUGCGCCUCUGUGUGUGCAUGUAUGUAUGACUGAUAUUGGCUUAUUAAAGUCUGUGUGCUGUAUUGUUGUUCUACAGUACUCAUGCUUGCGUGCAAGCGUGUGUGUGUGCGUGGGGGGGGAGGGGCAGGGGCGGUGGGUCAGCUUGUUGCGUGCAUUCAUGUUUGCAUAUAAAACAUCUUGUGACUUGCAAAGGGUUAAUUUGUUUGUUGUUUUAAUUAGCUCUGAGUCAUGCCUUUUGACUCACUCUUUCAUGGAUUGACUCACUCCCUAACUCCUCCUCACCCUUCAGUUCACAGGGCCCUCACCUAACGUCAGCCGCGGGCUCCGGGUCCCUGGCCGGCAUCCUGAGUGCCCUCUGUGUGGCGCUGGUGGGCUCCGUCAGCGGCUACUUCACCUACCAGAAGAAGAAGCUCUGCUUCAAGAACAGAGAAGAUUAAACCGCGACAUGGAGAAGAAAGGCAUUGUACUACCGGAGCUGAGCUGCCAGACUGUCUUGGUGUUCCCCCCACCCGAGCUGCCGGACUGCCGCUGAAGCUCCCCGCCAGAGCUGCCAGACUGCCGCAAGAGUUUCUUUUUUUUCGACAUGGAAAAAGAAAGGAUUUGGAUUUGGA